AUGGGAAUGGCAGGUCGAGGCCCAUUAAUUGGGAGUGUUAUUUCAGUAAUGUGGGCCUGUGAUGUUUAUCAUCCACAAAGAUUUUAUAAAUGUGAAGAAAAUCAGCCAGAGUUGAAUUUCGAUAAAUUGAAUUUGAAGGAGAGACUAAUAUUUCAUGGUGAUUAUUUAUUCAAGUUACUUCUGAUUGGCGACUCUAGGGUUGGAAAGUCUUGCCUUCUUCUUAGGUUUGCAGAUGAUACAUAUACAGAAAGCUACAUCAGCACAAUUGGUGUGGAUUUCAAAAUAAGAACUAUAGAGUUAGAUGGGAAAACAAUCAAGCUUCAAAUAUGGGACACAGCAGGCCAGGAAAGAUUUCGAACAAUCACCUCCAGUUAUUACAGAGGAGCCCAUGGCAUCAUAGUUGUGUAUGAUGUGACAGAUCAGGAGUCCUUCAAUAAUAAACAGUGGCUGCAGGAAAUAGAUCGUUAUGCCAGUGAAAAUGUCAACAAAUUGUUGGUAGGGAACAAAUGUGAUCUGACCACAAAGAAAGUAGUAGACUACACAACAGCAAAGGAAUUUGCUGAUUCCCUUGGAAUUCCGUUUUUGGAAACCAGUGCUAAGAAUGCAACGAAUGUAGAACAGUCUUUCAUGACGAUGGCAGCUGAGAUUAAAAAGUGAAUGGGUCCCGGAGCAACAGCUGGUGGUGCUGAGAAGUCCAAUGUUAAAAUUCAGAGCACUCCGGUCAAGCAGUCAGGUGGAGGUUGCUGCUAAAAUUUGCCUCCGUCCUUUUCUCACAGCAAUGAAUUUGCAAUCUGAACCCAAGUGAAAAAACAAAAUUGCCUGAAUUGUACUGUAUGUAGCUGCACUACAACAGAUUCUUACCGUCUC